rnacentral:snoRNA from 1 species
UUUGUGAACGAUGAAAACACCAUUUGCAUAGUUCACUCCGAAAAAUAUUAAUGUGGAACACUAGCAUCUUACGUCUUUCGCUCCUAUCUGAUUCUCCUC